UACGGAGGAUGCGAGCGUUAUCCGGAUUUAUUGGGCUUAAAGGGUGCGCAGGCGGCGCGUCAAGUCAGCGGUAAAAUGUCGGGGCUCAACCCCGGCCGGCCGUUGAAACUGGCGUGCUCGAGUUGGAGAGAAGUAUGCGGAAUUCGUGGUGUAGCGGUGAAAUGCAUAGAUAUCACGAAGAACCCCGAUUGCGAAGGCAGCAUACCGGCUCCACACUGACGCUGAGGCACGAAAGCGUGGGUAUCGAACAGG
rnacentral:rRNA from 1 species